CCAGACCUCCUUCAGGAGUGCGAAGUCGCCAACACUGUGGAGCGCAUGGGUCGGGCUGAGCAAGUGACUGCCCGUCCCUUGUGUUGUGUUCUGAAGAAUUUUUAGAGAAGAUUUUGGCUUUGUAGCAGCACCGAGGAUUGGAUCCGGCCCAUGGAGAAGCUGCCUGAGCAGAUGUCUCUGGAGUCCCUGUUUCCAUCCCCUGAGCAGGAGCCUCGAAAGAGCAAGGAUGGUGAGACCUGGACUGAGGAUCAAUUAAUUAUAAAGCAGAAAAUUCUUGCAGUAGGGAUAUGACUACAUGAAGGAGAUGAAUGUGAACAAAACAAACACGAGGGAGCUUUUGAAUAUGGACAAACCUUCGGAAAUAUUGCAAACUUUAUCCAACAGCCACAAAUUCUUACUGAAGAAGAAUCUCAAAUCUGUAAUAUAUGUGGAAAAAUUUUCAGGCAGAACUCAUACUUUAUUCAGCAUGAAAACAUCCACAUGCAAGAGAAAUCUUAUGAGUGUCAUGAAUGUGGAAAAGCCUUUGGCCAUAGUUCAAACCUUAUGCAGCAUCAAAGAAUACAAACUGAAGAGAAACCCUGUGAAUGUAGUGAGUGUGGGAAAACCUGGCUCAGCUCACACCUUAUCCAGCAUCACAUAACUCACACAGGAGAGGUGCCUUAAUGUGUGUAAUUAAUGUGGAAAAGCUUUUGGUCGGACUUCAAGUCUUAUUCAGCAUCAGAGAAUACACACUAGGGAGAAACUCUAUAAAUGUACUGAAUGUGGGAAGGCCUCUAGAGCUCAAAUAUAAUAGAGCAUCUGUGAGUUCCACCAAAGAUAGACCAUGUGAAUGCAAUAACUGUGGGAAAACUUCUAGUUGUAAAUCACACCUUAUUGAACAUCAGAGUCUCCGUACAGGGGAAGCUCCUUAUGAUUGUAAUGAGUGUGGGAAAUCUUUUAGUAGGAGUUCACUCCUUAUUAAACAUCACAGAAUUCACACUGGAGAGAGACCGUAAUGAAUGUAGUGAAUAUGGGAAGGCCUUUUGUCGGAACUCCCACCUUGUUUAGCAUGAGAAAACUCGCAGUGGAGUCAAACUGUCUGAAUGUAAAGAAUGUGGGAAAACCUGCAAGUGUAAUUCAUACCUUAUUUGUCAUCUGGGAAUUCGUGCGAGGGAGAAACUGUGAAUGAAAUGAAGGUGGUAUUACCUUUGGUUGGAGUUAAGCUGCAGUUGAACAUCAGGGAGCUCACACUGGGGUGUAGUGAGUGUGGAUGGCCUUUAGGCCUAGUUCAGCUCUUGUUUAUAUUAAGACCUAAAAGUCCACGUAGUAAAUAAAUCUCAUAGGUGUGUUAGGUGUAUGAAAACCUUUAGGUUGAGUUUGUACCUUAUUCAGCAUGAGCAGGUUCACUUUGGAGGAAUGAUGGAUGUGAAAAACCCAGCUGUGUAUCGGAGAAGGACACGGAAGGGGCAUAAUGCAACACUACAAAAGAUGAUGACUAAAGUGGAACCUUAGUACUAGUUUUCAUUUGGUAUCGAGGAUCUCCAUCAGGCGGAGAAUCUAUGGUUUGCUUUUCUUAUUGCCAUAGCCAUCUUCUGAAAAUGGAAUGAGUUAGGUCUAUUUCAGGGAAGAAAGAAGCCAGGAGUUUUGGACUCAGACUCAUAGAUCAGGAAAGCAAUAGGUUACCUUUGAACCCAAUUGUUUUUCUAUCUUAUCUGUCCUGUUUGUUGUAACUAUAGAUAAAAAUGGCUCUUGGGUCUUCUUGGGACAGUAUUUUACUCCUCAGUGUCCUGCAGACUGCUGAAUCUCUUCGUUUAAUGUGACAUAAAUGCACUUAAUAAAUGUGCAGAUUUUCUAAGCCAAAUACUUUCUCAGUAUGACAUGUCAUGGCUUUGCUAUGUGUCAGCUUGGGUAGCUUGAACUGCGUUUGCCAGAAUUUCUUUUCUUGUAUGUUUCAGUUCACCUGGGCUGUAGGAGAUUGUUGGGAGAUUUGGGGGGCAGAAGAAAAGCAGCAGUUAUUUCGUAGUUCAUACUCACUGUUGCUGAUCUUUUGACUCACCUCAGCAGCUGGGCCAGGUGUGUGUGUGUGUGUGUGUCUCCUCCUGUCUCUGCUUCUCUGAAUGAAACGUAGUGACACACAUGCUUACUAUCCUUAUGAGAAAAACAUUUGUUUCGUAUUUGGAUGGAAAAAAAUAAUGAAAUUUCUGGCUGUUUUAAAAUGACACUCAAUAAUUCUCAAGAUAUCCUAUCAGAAAAAGCUACUGUUCAAACUCCUUUAUAACAAAAAUUCCAUUAUAUCCUGAGGCAGAGCUUCACCAUCAAGUAAUUGUUGGGGAAAAAGUUUGCAAACAGUUGAAUAGUGGGAUACCUAAUUGACUGACAAAACUAAAAAAAUAAGUAUUUGAGCACCUAUUUACCAUGAAUAUUUUAAUCAUCAAAAGAAGUUCCAAAUGUCCCUCUACUUAGGUAGUACAUUGUUAAAUUUUUUUCUAGGUAUUUGAGAGAAAUAACUGCUUUGUUGUAAAUGCUUAUUUUUAAUCUAAAAUAACCAGAUUAUUUUUCCUCCAGUUAGUCUGGAUUAGUGUUUAUCUGAAAAAAAAAUCAGAGAAAAUUAUAAUUACAUUGUGGACUCUUGGAAUUUAAAGUUGCCUCUCUGCUAUAGCUUCCUGCUUUGGCUGGUGCUGUGCACCUAGUAGGUGUUCAGUGGAUGGCUGAGGAAUGAAUCUGUUUACUGGAAACCAAGGUCUUUUUGCUUGUCUCAACUCUCUUCUCUGCACUCCGCCACCUUCUGUACUUUGCCAUCCUUGCAGGUGAUUACUGACAUUAAGUAAGGGUGACCUGGCUCUAAGGAAUCCCUUGCUAUCUGGAUGUCUGACUGGAUAUCCGGAGGAGUUUACCACCCUAGGAGGCCAGAUCUGAGUUCUCAGCACUGUGCCCACAUACUUCACUUGGCCCAAGUCCGUCCCCUAAUGCGACAGGAAGAGCCUUUUUCUCCUGUGGAGUCUGAGAAGCUUCAGGGAUGACAGGGGGCUUAAAGAGUUGGGUGUGAAGGCUGGGCAGGAUUCUGAUGGGCAGAGAAGCAUAGCAGGGAAUGGCACUAAGAAAAGCGAAUGCGCAGGGUCAUGUGCCAGGUGCCUGCUCGUGUGCAGAGGUGCUUGUGGAGACCGGGACAGGAGAGAAGACUUUGUCUAUCAGAGGGGCUCUUGUUCUUUGGGCACAAGAAUCACUAGUGACCAGAUUAGUUCACUAAGAUUUUAGUGCUCAGGUGAACAUGAGGGCAACCAACCCAUUCCAGUUUGCCAGAACUUUCUCAAUUUUAGCAUUGAAAGUCCCACAUCCUGAAAAUGCUCAAUCCUGUGCAAACCAGGACAUUUGGUCACCCGAAUGGAUAGUGAUACCAUC